UACAGAGGUCCCGAGCGUUGUUCGGAUUCAUUGGGCGUAAAGGGUGCGUAGGCGGCGGGGAAAGUCUGAUGUGAAAUCCUGGGGCUCAACCCUGGGCGUGCAGUGGAUGCGGGCAGGCUGGAGGCAGGCAGGGGAGAACGGAAUUCCCGGUGUAGCGGUGAAAUGCGCAGAUAUCGGGAGGAACACCGGUGGCGAAGGCGGUUCUCUGGGCAUUACCUGACGCUGAGGAGCGAAAGUGUGGGGAGCGAACAGG
rnacentral:rRNA from 1 species